GACGAACGCUGGCGGCGUGCUUAACACAUGCAAGUCGAACGGAAAGGCCCUGCUUGCAGGGUGCUCGAGUGGCGAACGGGUGAGUAACACGUGGGUGAUCUGCCCCUUACUUUGGGAUAAGCCUGGUAAACUGGGUCUAAUACUGGAUAAGACCAUGCUGUAGGUGGUGUGGUGGAAAGAUUAGUUUCGGUAAGGGAUGAGCUCGCGGCCUAUCAGCUUGUUGGUGGGGUAAUGGCCUACCAAGGCGUCGACGGGUAGCCGGCCUGAGAGGGUGGACGGCCACAUUGGGACUGAGAUACGGCCCAGACUCCUACGGGAGGCAGCAGUGGGGAAUAUUGCACAAUGGGCGCAAGCCUGAUGCAGCGACGCCGCGUGGGGGAUGACGGCCUUCGGGUUGUAAACUCCUUUCAGCCAUGACGAAGCCCUUGUGGUGACGGUAGUGGUAGAAGAAGCACCGGCUAACUACGUG
rnacentral:rRNA from 1 species